UUUAACUCCACAGUCGCCUCCCAUCGUUUGAGACUCUCUCAUCUCUCACUUUGAGAGAGACACGGCAGCCACCCCAUUUCCCCCAUUUUCGUCGCCGCCGGCCAGCCACCAGCAGCCUUGGCUAGCGCCUCCCCCUCUUCUCUUUUAUCUCUCUUCGCCGGAACACCACCAAAGCUAUGAUCUGAAAAUAGGACACCUAUCGAAAUUUCACUUCUGGCCGGAGAAGCUUCAUGUCUUAUCUGAAAUGCUAAGGCCGGCAUUCUUUCCAUGAGGCAAACCGAUAUCUGAGAAUUUUAUGGCCAGAAAUCUGACUUUCCGGCGACCUCUGGUGCUGCUCUUUUACUGUUCACUGCAACCCGUUCUCUUGGUUUUGGACGGAAAUACAGAUUCCGGCGACGUUCCUUGAAGUUGAGCGUUAUUCCGGCGUCCGCCGUCGAAGUAACGCCACUGCUGUUCAUUUGGCCGGAAUAUUUUCUGGCGACCUCCCUUAACGCCAACGACUGUCCUUUUGCUUGUGUAUUUCUUCGCUUAUCAUUUUUUCUUUGCUACAGGUUAACAGAUCUAAACCAAUAAAGGUUAUUUGCCUAGAGAUUGGCCAAAACUUUGGCGUUGUUUCCCUGCCGGUAAUUUCUUCCGACGUCUCUGUUGCCUCGCUUGGGUACUGUUCUCCGGCGUUUGUCGUCGAUUGUGGAACUUUGCCGAUGAAUGUUCAUAGAUAAUUUUUGGGGUCUUUGUUUAUUCUGGCCAACUUCUAUCUCCACGUAUUAUGCUAUAUCAUUAUUAUCACAUUUGGUUCUACAAGUUUGGGUUAAUUUACGCUUGACUGGAACUAUUGAAUUGUUUCUUGCUAAUUAGUUUGUGCAGAUUUCACGUCUGAAUUGUUGUUGAUUUCCCGCACUGUUGGACCUAAGGCUUGGGCUGAUGAGAAAAUAACCUUCGAGUUAUUCAACGCCCCGAAUGACCGUCCGGGUUGGGCCCUAUAAUAAUGAGGCGAUGAUAAACAUCGAAAAAGAAAAAGACGAGAAUUCGAAUCAAUAACCUAUGGAGGGCGACACGGUUGGCAGACGGUGUCUCAACCGAGGCGGUGAGCCUACUAUAUUAUUUUAAACUAUUUUUCAAAAAUAAUUUCCCAAAAACAUUUUCGAACUAUUUUCACAAACAAUCUUUCAAAAAAAAAACAUUUUCGAAUCUUUUUCGGAAAAAUUUCAAAAAAUCAUUUUAAAAACAUGUCAUUUGAUUCAUUUUUACUUUAUGUUAUUUUAUUAAUAAUUUUACUUUCUUAUCUUGCGAGGUACUACUAUACGGAGUUGUUUUUGGAAGACGACACUCGAAGAUAGAAAGACAAAUUUUCGUCAAACUCCCCGCUUCGAAUUUCCUAUUCUAGGAUGUAUCCAAAAUCACAAGUAUAGUGAAAUCGCAGAUAAAUGUCGUAUUAUUUGUUUACUUUGAUCUUUAUCUGUUUGUUAAACACUUAAACACUUAGGGUGUGUUACAUCUAGCUAAUAAUCCGCCAAC
rnacentral:lncRNA from 1 species